rnacentral:rRNA from 1 species
AGAGUUUGAUCCUGGCUCAGAUUGAACGCUGGCGGCAUGCUUUNCACAUGCAAGUCGAGCGGUAGCGCGGGGGCAACCCUGGCGGCGAGCGGCGAACGGGUGAGUAAUACAUCGGAACGUAUCCUGAGGUGGGGGAUAACCUAUCGAAAGGUAGGCUAAUACCGCAUAAGCAAGGGAUUGGAAAGCGGGGGAUCGAAAGACCUCGCGCGUUUGGAGCGGCCGAUGUCGGAUUAGGUAGUUGGUGGGGUAAAGGCCCACCAAGCCGACGAUCCGUAGCGGGUCUGAGAGGAUGAUCCGCCACACUGGGACUGAGACACGGCCCAGACUCCUACGGGAGGCAGCAGUGGGGAAUUUUGGACAAUGGGGGCAACCCUGAUCCAGCCAUGCCGCGUGCGGGAAGAAGGCCUUCGGGUUGUAAACCGCUUUUGUCAGGGAAGAAACGGCCUGCACUAAUACUGCGGGCUAAUGACGGUACCUGAAGAAUAAGCACCGGCUAACUACGUGCCAGCAGCCGCGGUAAUACGUAGGGUGCGAGCGUUAAUCGGAAUUACUGGGCGUAAAGCGUGCGCAGGCGGCUUUGCAAGACAGAUGUGAAAUCCCCGGGCUCAACCUGGGAACUGCAUUUGUGACUGCAUGGCUGGAGUGCGGCAGAGGGGAUGGAAUUCCGCGUGUAGCAGUGAAAUGCGUAGAUAUGCGGAGGAACACCGAUGGCGAAGGCAGUCCCUGGGCCUGUACUGACGCUCAUGCACGAAAGCGUGGGAGCAAACAGGAUUAGAUACCUGGUAGUCCACGCCCUAAACGAUGUCAACUGGUUGUUGGAAAGGUUCCUUCUCAGUAACGUAGUAACGCGUGAAGUUGACCGCCUGGGGAGUACGGCCGCAAGGUUGAAACUCAAAGGAAUUGACGGGACCCGCACAAGCGGUGGAUGAUGUGGUUUAAUUCGAUGCAACGCGAAAAACCUUACCUACCCUUGACAUGUCUGGAAUUCUGCAGAGAUGUGGAAGUGCUCGAAAGAGAGCCAGAACACAGGUGCUGCAUGGCCGUCGUCAGCUCGUGUCGUGAGAUGUUGGGUUAAGUCCCGCAACGAGCGCAACCCUUGUCAUUAGUUGCUACGAAAGGGCACUCUAAUGAGACUGCCGGUGACAAACCGGAGGAAGAUGGGGACGACGUCAAGUCCUCAUGGCCCUUAUGGGUAGGGCUACACACGUCAUACAAUGGCGCAUACAGAGGGAAGCCAACCCGCGAGGGGGAGCAAAUCCCAGAAAGUGCGUCGUAGUCCGGAUUGAAGUCUGCAACUCGACUUCAUGAAGUCGGAAUCGCUAGUAAUCGCGGAUCAGCAUGUCGCGGUGAAUACGGGCCCGGGCCUUGUACACACCGCCCGUCACACCAUGGGAGUGGGUUUCACCAGAAGCAGGUAGCCUAACCGCAAGGGGGGCGCCUACCACGGUGAGAUUCAUNACUGGGGUGAAGUCGUAACAAGGUAACC